rnacentral:rRNA from 1 species
UACGUAGGGGGCUAGCGUUGUCCGGAAUCAUUGGGCGUAAAGAGCGUGUAGGCGGCCCGGUAAGUCCGCUGUGAAAGUCGGGGGCUCAACCCUCGAAUGCCGGUGGAUACUGUCGGGCUAGAGUGCGGAAGAGGCGAGUGGAAUUCCUGGUGUAGCGGUGAAAUGCGCAGAUAUCAGGAGGAACACCAAUCGCGAAGGCAGCUCGCUGGGACGUAACUGACGCUGAGACGCGAAAGCGUGGGGGAGCAAACAGG